AAACUUUCAACAACGGAUCUCUUGGCUCUGGCAUCGAUGAAGAGCGCAGCGAAAUGCGAUACGUAAUGUGAAUUGCAGAAUCCAGUGAAUCAUCGAAUCUUUGAGCGCACAUUGCGCCCGCCAGCAUUCUGGCGGGCAUGCCUGUUCGAGCGUCAUUU
rnacentral:rRNA from 1 species